rnacentral:lncRNA from 1 species
AGUAUUCCUGUAAUAGCAGCCUCACUGAGAGAAGAAAAGCAACUCGGAGAUAAGAAACUCCACACCCUUUUGAGGAGAGAACUUGACAUCUGAAUUUUCAUGUUUGUGUUCUUUGAACAAACAUCAUUAAAGCAUACCAAAUCUACACCCAGUAAAAGUUUUGGAUGAAGACAGACAAAAAUGUGAAUGGACUACAAUGGAAGAUGCACAGACAUAUAUUAACCAGCACAUCAGGAAAUAGAGUUCAACCAAGUUGGAAGGUCGGCCUUGGAAGACACUGAGUUCCUGACCCUGGAGGACAGGCUGUGUUCAUUCAGGACCUGGAGGUUUUCAAACUCUCUCAAUGCCCUGCUGCUGCAUUUGAACUGUAUACAAGUCCACUUCCUGUGUCUUUGAAGAGGAAAUUUCUCAUCUGCUAUCAAGGGUGUUGCUAAUAAUUUAAAGAUCGGGUUUUUUUUCUGCAUUUUAGUCUGGCACAUCUGGGACUCAAGUUUCAAGUGCUGAGUCUUGUAAGGACUGUUCUGCAGCCAAAAACCAGGAAAGGGGAAACAGAAGCAAAAAACCAAUCACAAGUGAAAAAACUCAGCCAGCCUAAUUAAAUAUUUGGAAUCAAAAA